ACACAGCUGCCAGGACCAGAGUCCAUCUAUUUUUAUUGAGUGUCUGCAGAGAAAGCUCAUAGAGAUCCUUGCUGGCUCUGUGGAGUCAGCAGCUGUGCUGAGGAAGCCCACGUGUCAAGGAGCUGCUGGCAGCCUCUAGCACCUGAAGGUGCCUCCACCUGACAGCCAGCCAGAUACCAGGGCCUCACGCACACAGCCGCCAGGAAAUGAGUCCUGAAAACAGCCUGACGGAGCUUGCAAGCAGAUUCUUCCACAGUCGAGCCUCCCGGUGAGAAUGCACCUUGGCUGCACCUUGUGAGACCCUGGGCAGAGAACCCAACUGAGCUGUGCCUGGAUUCCUGACCCCCAGGAAACAUGAAAUAAUAAACAUGUGUUGUUUUAGGUCA